UACGGGGGGGGCAAGCGUUGUUCGGAAUUACUGGGCGUAAAGGGCUCGUAGGCGGCCAACUAAGUCAGACGUGAAAUCCCCAGGCUCAACCUGGGAACUGCGUCUGAUACUGGAUGGCUUGAAUCCGGGAGAGGGAUGCAGAAUUCCAGGUGUAGCGGUGAAAUGCGUAGAUAUCUGGAGGAAUACCGGUGGCGAAGGCGGCAUCCUGGACCGGCAUUGACGCUGAGGAGCGAAAGCCAGGGGAGCGAACGGG
rnacentral:rRNA from 1 species